UACGAAGGGGGCUAGCGUUGUUCGGAAUUACUGGGCGUAAAGCGCGUGUAGGCGGGCCGUUAAGUCGGGGGUGAAAGCCCAGAGCUCAACUCUGGAACUGCCUUCGAUACUGGCGGCCUGGAGCAUGAUAGAGGCGAGUGGAAUUGCGAGUGUAGAGGUGAAAUUCGUAGAUAUUCGCAGGAACCCCAGUGGCGAAGGCGACUCGCUGGAUCAUUGCUGACGCUGAGGUGCGAAAGCGUGGGGAGCUAACAGG
rnacentral:rRNA from 1 species